rnacentral:sRNA from 1 species
AGGCUCUUGGGAUUGAGGAGCGCCAGUAUCACCUCCAAUCAGAGGUGUAGCCCAUCAGAGAGUUCGGGCUGCUUUAGCGCACCUCACCCCUAGAC